UACGUAGGUGGCAAGCGUUAUUCGGAUUUACUGGGUGUAAAGGGAGCGUAGACGGCAGCGCAAGUCUGGAGUGAAAUGCCGGGGCUCAACCCCGGAACUGCUUUGGAAACUGUGCAGCUAGAGUGCGGGAGAGGUAAGCGGAAUUCCUAGUGUAGCGGUGAAAUGCGUAGAUAUUAGGAGGAACCCCAGUGGCGAAGGCGGCUUACUGGACCGUAACUGACGUUGAGGCUCGAAAGCGUGGGGAGCAAACAGG
rnacentral:rRNA from 1 species